rnacentral:tRNA from 1 species
GGGCGCAUGGUUUAGUGGUAUAACACUCCCUUAGCAUGACUUGAUUGGUCAGCAAGGAUUGGGAGAGGUCUAGGGUUCGAUUCCCUAUGUGUCCA